CCGGCGCGCUGCGCUGCCGGCUGCCCCUCAGCGUUCCGUACUCCAGACCCGACAGGCCCCGGAGGCCUGCUCCGCUUGGCCCCACUCCCGACGCCCUCUUCCUGGGCACAGGGUCGCCCGCCUACACCAAAGUCUCCAGCACACAGCCUGCCUCCUGCCGGGGAUCCAAAGGAUGGAAACUAGCCCUAGAAAGUUCUAAAGCUCCUUCUGCAGAGUGCAUAUCCUAGCCUUUACAGUUCCUGGGAGUCCCCCACCCCCACCCCCAACCCCAUGAGGCCCAACCAGAAGCCACUUUCUCUGGGAACCUUUUGUGUAGUGAGUGGUGAGGCCUGCCCAUUGCAUUUCAAAUUGCUUGUGUUUAAUUCUGGCCAAGCCACUCACUCCUAGCGGUGUGACCUCAGGCAAAUGUCAGUUCUUUGUGCAUAAGACAGAAUUAAUAGUCAUUGUGAUAAUCAGUUUUUAGUAUGAGGCUGUUUUUUAAGUUCUGAAACAUCGAUUGGUGUGAUAUUGUUACCGUACCUAAAACAACCCCAGUUUGAAUCAUUUUCAUGUCACGAUUACGGUCAGUGAUUUGAAUAGUCCGUUUCUGUGCAAAGACGCACGGAUACUCUGCAGUUGUGUACAGAUCCUCUCCCUGUUCUCAGUAAGUGUCUUUGUCGAGCUACAGUAGCGUUUCUGUUACAAGCGUGUUACUCUGGGUCAGAGACUUUUCCAAACAAGUGAAUCAGAGUAUGAGAAAAGUGGAAAUUGACUUGUGGAGUUCUCCUUCUAGGCUCAUGAUGUCUCUGUAACCAAAACUGUAGCCCUCUGGCCCUAAGAGCAGGCGGACUUGGCAAAAUAACUGGGGGGGGGGCUGUUUAGAAAGAUCUCAAUUUAUCAGACAAAGGAUGGGAAUGUUUGGAGAAGAAGGAUUCUUCGAGUCUGCCUCCUCGGUCUGGUCUGUUUGCCAGGGAGCAGCUACAGUGUUUCUUGGAAAACUGAAAUCAGGGCGUACCGCUGUCUCCACUCCUGUCCUCCUGUCCUGAAUAGGAGCCAGAGCCCCUUCUGUGGUCCGCUCCCCUCACAGCCCCUCCCUGUCUCCCGUAGAGCUCUCAGCCCAGCCUCACUGGUUUCUUUGGUCUGUACGUGUAAUGCCCCAAACUUCGAGCCUCUGCACCUGCUGUUCCCCUAAUACCCACAAGGCACCCACCUUCCCUUCCUUUAGGCUUCUGCUCAGGGAAGCCCUCCCUGGCCCCUCCACUUGAAAUAGCAGCAUGCCUCAGGUCCCAUCUCACCAAAGAUACCAUCUGUUGUUUUCAUAUUUAAGGUCUGUCUGUCCUGAGAGCAGGGAGCUUGUGUUUUGUGCUUGCUGAUAAAGUCUCACCACCUGCAGCAGGGCUCGUCUCUUAGGGGAUGCUCAAUAAAUACUGGUUGCUUCUACGGAGACAGGAAUCCGAUGAAAAUCAGAUUAAAAGCCUUUCUUCAUCAUCCCAUUUCCUCCGGUCCGUCAACUUGGGUGGCAUCGCAAAGAGCUUCUGCAGCCGCUGAGCCUCCAUGGACCCAAAGACCCUGGGAUUCGAUGGUUUGCACCCUACGGACAUUCCGUGUAAAAGGAGUCCUAGAAUAUGUGGUCCUUUGGGACUGCCUUCUCACUCAGCAUGAUGUUUUCAGGGUUCCUCCAACCUGUGGCGUGUUAUCAGUGUCUUGUUCUGUUUAUUGCCGAAUAAAAAUCUCAUUGUCUAAGUAAACCCCGUUUAAUUUCUCUGUUCCUCAGCUGAUGCACAUUGGGGUUGUUUCCAUUUUUGGCCACUUAGAAACAAUGCUGCCAUGAGCAUUUGUGUACACCUCUUUGUGUGGACACAUUUUCCCUUCUCGUGGGUAUGCACCUAGAAGUGGAAACGCUAGACCCUUUGGGAAUU